rnacentral:rRNA from 1 species
CUACCUACGGGACGCAGCAGUGAGGAAUAUCGGUCAAUGGGCUUACGCCUGAACCAGCCAAGUCGCGUGAGGGAAGACUGCCCUAUGGGUUGUAAACCUCUUUUGUCAGGGAGCAACGCCGGCUACGUGUAGCCGGACUGAGAGUACCUUAAGAAAAAGCAUCGGCUAACUCCGUGCCAGCAGCUGCGGUAAUACGGAGGAUGCGGGCGUUAUCCGGAUUUAUUGGGUUUAAAGGGUGCGUAGGCGGAAUGCCAAGUCAGCGG